CAGUGUUUUAAAAGGCUCGCCUAGGUGUCCUCUGAGGUUGGGCGUCAGGGUUCCUGCCUUUGUUUUGAGGGAGUGGGCGGAAGGCUUCGCCGAAGACGCCAAGGCGACGGAGGCGCGCCUCAAGACGAUGCCGUUUGGUUAAGGAUUUUUAAUCUCCAAUCUCCAUACGGACCAUACCUCAUCUCUUUUCUUCAAUCGCGCCUUUGCCUUCUUCACUCCUCUCGCGUCGCCAGACCAAAACACACAGCAGCUCAGCCAUUGUCACCCCACCGACGUCACCUAGCAACAUCGCCGUCAGCAAGCGCCCACAAAUUCCCAAUUUUAAAGAAAUCCUUUUUUUGGUGCCUGUUGACUCUCUGUCGUAUGGCUACGGCUAGCUGAAGAACUUAGAGUCAACUUAUGAAUAUGACAAGAGCUUCCUUUCUCUCGAUAGCAUGUUGCACAAGCAUCAAACUCUGGGCACAUUUCACACACCCAUCUCUGAUCAAUCACAGCAUCCUUAUGGCACAGACUGCAUGUAUUCCCAGAAGUUAGCGCAGUAGCAUUAUGGAGAUGAUGCAGAAUCAUUUUUGAGGAAUACUUGGCCCGGCGAAGUGUGCCAAACUGAUAGUGUUUUUUCUCACACAAGCUCAAGAAACCUAUGCCUAUUCUCAAGUAAAUUGUUGUUCGAAAUAACAUCUUCGUCCUUAGUGUCA